GAUGAACGCUAGCGGCAGGCUUAACACAUGCAAGUCGAGGGGUAUGCCGAUUUAUCGGCAGAGACCGGCGCACGGGUGCGUAACGCGUAUGGCAAUCUACCUUUCACAGAGGGAUAGCCCAGAGAAAUUUGGAUUAAUACCUCAUAGUAUAGCAGUUUCGCAUGAAACCACUAUUAAAGUUCCAACGGUGAAAGAUGAGCAUGCGUCCCAUUAGCUAGAUGGUAAGGUAACGGCUUACCAUGGCUACGAUGGGUAGGGGUCCUGAGAGGGAGAUCCCCCACACUGGUACUGAGACACGGACCAGACUCCUACGGGAGGCAGCAGUGAGGAAUAUUGGUCAAUGGACGCAAGUCUGAACCAGCCAUGCCGCGUGCAGGAAUGACGGUCCUAUGGAUUGUAAACUGCUUUUUAUACAGGAAGAAACACUCCGACGUGUCGGAGACUUGACGGUACUGUAAGAAUAAGGAUCGGCUAACUCCGUGCCA
rnacentral:rRNA from 1 species